ensembl:lncRNA
GUUUUGGACUGCAGACAGUGCACAGCUCUGGUGCAUGGGGACUCGUGCAGUGCUUUAGCAAGUGACAGACAGCUCAGCUCUAUGAUAGAAAUGAUAUAAUGUGAAUAAAUGCCCACGGAUAUUCCAGGGAUAGUGUCCUGGUGAUGUGAAUGACCUAGAGGGCCCACUGUCCUUCAAUACCAGAGCAAAAUCACUAGGUCCAGGAUUUCACUGCAACUGCACAAAGACCUUUUCCACCUCUUCAGCCCUCAGGGCAAUCCCUCUUAGAUACUCACAGGCUGCUCUCAGGUCUCCCCAGAGCCUUCUCUUCUCCGGGCUGCACAGCCCCAGCUCUCAGCCUGUCCCUGUAGGGAAGCUGUUCCAUCCCUUGGAUCAUUUUUGUGGCCCUCCUCUGGACGCACUCCAGUAGAUCAACG